GAUGAACGCUAGCGACAGGCUUAACACAUGCAAGUCGAGGGGCAGCGGGGGAGUAGCAAUACUCCCGCCGGCGACCGGCGCACGGGUGAGUAACACGUAUGAAACCUGCCCGUAGCAGGGGGAUAAGCGGAAGAAAUUCCGUCUAAUACCGCGUAACAACCCUUGGAGGCAUCUCCUCGGGUUUAAAGGGAAGCGAUUCCGGCUACGGAUGGUCAUGCGUCGCAUUAGCUGGUUGGCGGGGUAACGGCCCACCAAGGCGACGAUGCGUAGGGGUUCUGAGAGGAAGGUCCCCCACACUGGUACUGAGACACGGACCAGACUCCUACGGGAGGCAGCAGUGAGGAAUAUUGGUCAAUGGCCGCAGGGCUGAACCAGCCAAGUCGCGUGAGGGAUGACGGUCCUAUGGAUUGUAAACCUCUUUUGUCAGGGAGCAAAGGGCGUCACGUGUGGCGUUUUGCGAGUACCUGAAGAAAAAGCAUCGGCUAACUCCGUGCCAGCAGCCGCGGUAAUACGGAGGAUGCGAGCGUUAUCCGGAUUUAUUGGGUUUAAAGGGUGCGCAGGCGGAAUGUCAAGUCAGCGGUAAAAUUUCGGGGCUCAACCCCGUCGUGCCGUUGAAACUGGCGUUCUUGAGUGAGCGAGAAGUAUGCGGAAUGCGUGGUGUAGCGGUGAAAUGCAUAGAUAUCACGCAGAACUCCGAUUGCGAAGGCAGCAUACCGGCGCUCAACUGACGCUCAUGCACGAAAGCGUGGGUAUCGAACAGGAUUAGAUACCCUGGUAGUCCACGCAGUAAACGAUGAAUACUAACUGUCCGGGCAGAAUGAUGUCUGGGUGGUACAGCGAAAGCGUUAAGUAUUCCACCUGGGGAGUACGCCGGCAACGGUGAAACUCAAAGGAAUUGACGGGGGCCCGCACAAGCGGAGGAACAUGUGGUUUAAUUCGAUGAUACGCGAGGAACCUUACCCGGGCUCAAACGACGGAUGGAUGUUUCUGAAAGGAGGCAGUCCUACGGGACAUCCGUCGAGGUGCUGCAUGGUUGUCGUCAGCUCGUGCCGUGAGGUGUCGGCUUAAGUGCCAUAACGAGCGCAACCCCCAUCGCCAGUUACCAGCAAGUAAAGUUGGGGACUCUGGCGAGACUGCCGGCGCAAGCUGUGAGGAAGGCGGGGAUGACGUCAAAUCAGCACGGCCCUUACGUCCGGGGCGACACACGUGUUACAAUGGCAGGUACAGAGAGAUGCGAUGUGGCGACGCAGAGCGGAACUUCAAAGCCUGUCUCAGUUCGGAUUGGAGUCUGCAACCCGACUCCAUGAAGCUGGAUUCGCUAGUAAUCGCGCAUCAGCCACGGCGCGGUGAAUACGUUCCCGGGCCUUGUACACACCGCCCGUCAAGCCAUGGAAGCCGGGAGUGCCUGAAGUGUGCAACCGCAAGGAGCGCCCUAAGGUAAAACCGGUGACUGGGGCUAAGUCGUAACAAGGUAGCCGUACCGGAAGGUGCGGCUGGAACACCUCCUUUCUGGAGCGGAAAAGCCUAUGGCGUUCCGUACCGAGAUGGCCGUCGCGACUGUCGCAUGCAGGGUCUUCGGACGUUGACGGUACUGCUUUCAAGGGUUCUAUUGAAGAUCCCGCGGAUGGCCCUCAGGGGACUCCACGGAUACGGGGGAUUAGCUCAGCUGGCUAGAGCACCUGCUUUGCAAGCAGGGGGUCAACGGUUCGAAUCCGUUAUUCUCCACACAAGAAAGAGGACAUUGACAUACUGGAAGCGAAGAUACGCGAGACUCCAUUGAAAGAUAUGGAGCUUGCAAAAUCGAAGCAAACACAACGAGUAAAUCAAAUCAAGCGAAACACGAGGCAACUCUGUUUCUUUGAAUCGAGUCACAACAACAGGACGAUUUCAGAGAGCGAGCCGAGUGAUGUUCGAACCGAUUGAAAAAUACUAAGGUCAUAAAGAAAGGAGAUAAGGGCACAUGAAGGAUGCCUUGGCUCUCGGAGGCGAUGAAGGACGUGAUAAGCUGCGAAAAGCUGCGGGUAGGAGCAAAUAUCCCUUGAUCCGCAGAUGUCCGAAUGGGGCAACCCACCGGCUUCAGGCCGGUACCUCCCUAGUGGAGGGGCGAACCCGGGGAACUGAAACAUCUCAGUACCCGGAGGAAGAGAAAAUAAACCAAUGAUUGCGCAAGUAGUGGCGAGCGAACGCGCAAGAGCCCAAACCGGCCGCGUUUCGGCGCGGACCGGGGUUGUAGGACCGUCGACGAAUGGACAGCGGGCGCAUAGCCGAACCUUCUGGAAAGGAGGGCCGCAGCGGGUGAGAGCCCCGUAGGCGAAAUGCAAAGGCUGACAGAGACGGCACCUGAGUAAGCCGGGACACGAGGAAUCCUGGCCGAAUCCGCGGGGACCAUCCCGUAAGGCUAAAUACUACCGAGAGACCGAUAGCGAACC
rnacentral:rRNA from 1 species